GCCUUUGCUGCUCAGUGGGUAGAGCAUGAGACUCUUAAUCUAAGGGUUGUGGGUUCGAGCCCCAUGUUGGGCA